AGGCUUUCACCUGGGAAUAACUUUACCUCAGCACCCACAGUGAGGUGACAUGUACUAUAUAUUCCAGUUUCUGAACCCUGCUUGGAUGGAGUGGAAAUCAAAUGCUGGGUGAAUUCAUUCUCCAGUUGGGGCUGGCCAGGGGGUUAUACUUCUGUGGAAUGGGCUGUGGAAGCUACCAGCAAGUGUGUGUAAAUAUUGAUUCUUCAGGGAGGUUAGGCUCACAAAGUUUCUUUAGUUUUUUAUAGCAAGUCAUGGAAAAUAAGUUAAAUUUUUGUUCAUGUAGUGGCUUGUUUUUUGUUAGACAAACAUGAUUGAUUAUUGAUUAAUGAAUAAACUUUCUACUGAAACUUUGUUGGAUUG